UGCCAGCCGCCGCGGUAACACGUAAAAAGCAAGCGCUGUCCGGAAUCACUGGACGCAAAGGGAGCGUAGGUGACGAGAUAAGUCAGAUGUGAAAGUUUGCGGCUCAACCGUAAAAUUGCAUUUGAUACUGUUUUGCUAGAGUAUCGGAGAGGAAAGCGGAAUUCCUGAUGUAGCGGUGAAAUGCGCAGAGAUCAGGAAGAACACCAAUGACGAAAACAGCUUUCUGGACGAUACCUGACACUGAGGCUCGAAAGCGUGAAGAACGAACAGGAUUAGAUA
rnacentral:rRNA from 1 species